rnacentral:rRNA from 1 species
UACAGAGGGUGCGAGCGUUAAUCGGAAUUACUGGGCGUAAAGCGCGCGUAGGCGGCUUUGCAAGUCGGGUGUGAAAUCCCCAGGCUUAACCUGGGAACUGCAUUCGAGACUGCAUUGCUAGAGUAUGGGAGAGGGAAGUGGAAUUUCCGGUGUAGCGGUGAAAUGCGUAGAUAUCGGAAGGAACAUCAGGGGCGAGAGCGACUUCCUGGACCAAUACUGACGCUCAUGUGCGAAAGCGUGGGGAGCAAA